UCUUUUUUAUAGGGAAAGUGUCUUGGAGCUUUUUAUCAAAACUCCUGUAUAUAUAUAAAGAUAUUUUGAUUUGUUUGAAUAGUUUUUAAAGUAGCUAUUUUUAUUUUUUUAAUGAUUGAUUUUUGCAAGAAAUAUUGUUAUGAGAAAAACAAAAGAACACAAUAAAAUUUACUAAAGUUUUUUUAACAAGAUGUAAAGCAAGACUUUUAAAAGCAAUUAAAGUUAAGAGUAGCACUGCAAGCAGUUUAAAUGAAUUAGGUCGACAAGAUAUUAUUAAGUUUGGAUCAAAAUACGGAUCUGGCCCAGACACUUUUGAAAACAAAAUCAUUAACGAAAUAGCAUAAAAGAUGCGAACCUUUUCCGAAGUUCUAAUGACAUUAAAACUUAUUUUUUUAAAGUUAAUUUAAAACAGUUCCGAAUAAAAUUUAUACUUU